rnacentral:tRNA from 1 species
GCCGCGAUAGCUCAGUGGUAGAGCACUUCCAUGGUAAGGAAGGGGUCUUGGGUUCAAAUCCCAAUCGUGGCUCCA